rnacentral:tRNA from 1 species
GCAUUGGUGGUUCAGUGUUAGAAUUCUUGCCUCUGAUGAUGGGAGACCCGGGUCCGAUUCCUGGCCAAUGCA